rfam:Heterocephalus glaber contig146893, whole genome shotgun sequence.
GAGGAUGUAGCUCAGUGGUAGAGUGCCUACUUAAGAUGUGUGAGAUUCUGAGUUCAAUUCCCAGCACCAUAA